AGUGAGCGCUGGCGGCAGGCCUAACACAUGCAAGUCGAACGGCAGCACAGGAGAGCUUGCUCUCUGGGUGGCGAGUGGCGGACGGGUGAGGAAAACGUCGGAAUCUGCCUAUUUGUGGGGGAUAACGUAGGGAAACUUACGCUAAUACCGCAUACGACCUACGGGUGAAAGCGGAGGACCUUCGGGCUUCGCGCAGAUAGAUGAGCCGACGUCGGAUUAGCUAGUUGGCGGGGUAAAGGCCCACCAAGGCGACGAUCCGUAGCUGGUCUGAGAGGAUGAUCAGCCACACUGGAACUGAGACACGGUCCAGACUCCUACGGGAGGCAGCAGUGGGGAAUAUUGGACAAUGGGCGCAAGCCUGAUCCAGCCAUGCCGCGUGGGUGAAGAAGGCCUUCGGGUUGUAAAGCCCUUUUGUUGGGAAAGAAAAGCAGCCGGUUAAUACCCGGUUGUCAUGACGUUACCGACAGAAUAAGCACCGGCUAACUUCGUGCCAGCCGCCGCCGUAAGAC
rnacentral:rRNA from 1 species